rnacentral:rRNA from 1 species
CCUACGGGUGGCAGCAGUGGGGAAUAUUGCACAAUGGGGGAAACCCUGAUGCAGCAACGCCGCGUGAGUGAAGAAGUAUUUCGGUAUGUAAAGCUCUAUCAGCAGGGAAGAAGAAAGACGGUACCUGACUAAGAAGCCCCGGCUAACUACGUGCCAGCAGCCGCGGUAAUACGUAGGGGGCAAGCGUUAUCCGGAUGUACUGGGUGUAAAGGGAGCGUAGACGGCAGCACAAGUCUGGAGUGAAAUCCUGGGGCUUAACCCCGGAACUGCUUUGGAAACUGUGCGGCUGGAGUGCAGGAGGGGUAAGCGGAAUUCCUAGUGUAGCGGUGAAAUGCGUAGAUAUUAGGAGGAACACCGGUGGCGAAGGCGGCUUACUGGACUGUAACUGACAUUGAUGCUCGAAAGUGUGGGUAUCAAACAGGAUUAGAUACCCUUGUAGUC